rnacentral:rRNA from 1 species
GAUGAACGCGGGCGGCGUGCUAAUACAUGCAAGUCGAGCGAACGGACGAGAAGCUUGCUUCUCUGAUGUUAGCGGCGGACGGGUGAGUAACACGUGGAUAACCUACCUAUAAGACUGGGAUAACUUCGGGAAACCGGAGCUAAUACCGGAUAAUAUUUUGAACCGCAUGGUUCAAAAGUGAAAGACGGUCUUGCUGUCACUUAUAGAUGGAUCCGCGCUGCAUUAGCUAGUUGGUAAGGUAACGGCUUACCAAGGCAACGAUGCAUAGCCGACCUGAGAGGGUGAUCGGCCACACUGGAACUGAGACACGGUCCAGACUCCUACGGGAGGCAGCAGUAGGGAAUCUUCCGCAAUGGGCGAAAGCCUGACGGAGCAACGCCGCGUGAGUGAUGAAGGUCUUCGGAUCGUAAAACUCUGUUAUUAGGGAAGAACAUAUGUGUAAGUAACUGUGCACAUCUUGACGGUACCUAAUCAGAAAGCCACGGCUAACUACGUGCCAGCAGCCGCGGUAAUACGUAGGUGGCAAGCGUUAUCCGGAAUUAUUGGGCGUAAAGCGCGCGUAGGCGGUUUUUUAAGUCUGAUGUGAAAGCCCACGGCUCAACCGUGGAGGGUCAUUGGAAACUGGAAAACUUGAGUGCAGAAGAGGAAAGUGGAAUUCCAUGUGUAGCGGUGAAAUGCGCAGAGAUAUGGAGGAACACCAGUGGCGAAGGCGACUUUCUGGUCUGUAACUGACGCUGAUGUGCGAAAGCGUGGGGAUCAAACAGG